GACGAACGCUGGCGGCGUGCCUAAUACAUGCAAGUCGAACGCAGUUGGGACGGGUGAGUAACACGUGGGUAACCUCCCAUCAGAGGGGAUAACACUUGGAAACAGGUGCUAAACCGAUACUGAUGGAUGAACCCGCGGUUCAUUAGCUAGUUGGUGGGGUAACGGUUCACCAAGGCCACGAUGCAUCGCCGACCUGAGAGGGUGAACGGCCAAACUGGGACUGAGACACGGCCCAGACUACUACGGGAGGCAGCAGUAGGGAAUCUUGGGCAAUGGACGCAAGUCUGACCGAGCAACGCCGCGUGUGUGAAGAAGGUUUUCGGGGCGUAAAACUCUGUUGUUAGGGAAGCGGUAUCUACAGAAAAAGCCACGGCUAACUACGUGCCAGCAGCCGCGGUAAUAC
rnacentral:rRNA from 1 species